UACGUAGGGCGCGAGCGUUGUCCGGAUUUAUUGGGCGUAAAGAGCUCGUAGGCGGCUCGUUGCGUCAACCGUGAAAACCCGCGGCUCAACUGUGGGCUUGCAGCUGAUACGGGCGGGCUGGAGUUCGGUAGGGGAGACUGGAAUUCCUGGUGUAGCGGUGAAAUGCGCAGAUAUCAGGAGGAACACCGGUGGCGAAGGCGGGUCUCUGGGCCGAUACUGACGCUGAGGAGCGAAAGCGUGGGGAGCGAACAGG
rnacentral:rRNA from 1 species